rnacentral:rRNA from 1 species
UACGUAGGGGGCUAGCGUUGUCCGGAUUUAUUGGGCGUAAAGAGCGUGUAGGCGGCCAGGUAGGUCUGGUGUGAAAACUCGAGGCUUAACCUCGAGAUGUCAUCGGAAACCAUCUGGCUAGAGUCCGGAAGAGGUGAGUGGAAUUCCGAGUGUAGAGGUGAAAUUCGUAGAUAUUCGGAGGAACACCAGUGGCGAAGGCGGCUCACUGGUCCAUUACUGACGCUGAGGUGCGAAAGCGUGGGGAGCAAACAGGG